GCCAGUGUGGUGUAGUGGUUUGAGUCCUGAGACUAUGACUCUGGACAUCAGGGUUUGAUUCCCUGCUCAGCCA